rnacentral:tRNA from 1 species
GGCCCUUUGGUCUAGAGGCAUGAUUCUCGCUUUGGGUGCGAGAGGUCCCGGGUUCAAAUCCCGGACGGGCCC